rnacentral:rRNA from 1 species
UNUGACUUGAGUGCAGAAGGGGAGAGUGGAAUUCCAUGUGUAGCGGUGAAAUGCGUAGAUAUAUGGAGGAACACCAGUGGCGAAAGCGGCUCUCUGGUCUGUCACUGACGCUGAGGCUCGAAAGCGUGGGUAGCGAACAGGAUUAGAUACCCUGGUAGUNCACGCCGUAAACGAUGAGUGCUAGGUGUUAGGCCCUUUCCGGGGCUUAGUGCCGGAGCUAACGCAAUAAGCACUCCGCCUGGGGAGUACGACCGCAAGGUUGAAACUCAAAGGAAUUGACGGGGGCCCGCACAAGCGGUGGAGCAUGUGGUUUAAUUCGAAGCAACGCGAAGAACCUUACCAGGUCUUGACAUCCCGAUGCUAUUCUUAGAGAUAGGAAGUUACUUCGGUACAUCGGAGACAGGUGGUGCAUGGUUGUCGUCAGCUCGUGUCGUGAGAUGUUGGGUUAAGUCCCGCAACGAGCGCAACCCUUAUUGUUAGUUGCCAUCAUUAAGUUGGGCACUCUAGCGAGACUGCCGGUAAUAAACCGGAGGAAGGUGGGGAUGACGUCAAAUCAUCAUGCCCCUUAUGACCUGGGCUACACACGUGCUACAAUGGUCGGUACAACGAGUUGCGAGCCGGUGACGGCAAGCUAAUCUCUGAAAGCCGAUCUCAGUUCGGAUUGGAGGCUGCAACUCGCCUCCAUGAAGUCGGAAUCGCUAGUAAUCGCGGAUCAGCACGCCGCGGUGAAUACGUUCCCGGGCCUUGUACACACCGCCCGUCACACCACGAGAGUUUGUAACACCCGAAGUCGGUGAGGUAACCUUUUAGGGG